ACCAACAAAUCAACCUGCCUCUAGCAACAUACCCUGAAAAUGAGUUGGCAACACUGAUGUCACAUUGGACUGCAUUGAAGAAAAAAAAAAGCAUUGGACUGCAUUGCAGGCUAUACACACAUGUGGAUUUGCUAGCAGCUUGGUCCUCCAUCCCAUCAACCUUGUACCCGGCAGUGGCGGCAACUAUUCAAGAAACAAGGCACUAAAUCCACACAAAGUUGGCAAGUCUCUCUCUCCCCCGCACACAUGCAACCUUGGCAACAUCCUGGAUUCCACCCUCUCCUUCAACCCCCACAUCCGACAGACUGUCAAAACCUAAUUCGUCCACCUCCGCAACAUCUCCAGAGUCGGGUCCUCCCUCUCCCGUCCUGGUGCUAAAACCCUUAAUUAAUGUAUUCAUCUCCUCCCAACUAGACUACUGUAACUCCAUACUCUCUGGCAUCAACACAACCUCCUUCCAUAAACUCCAAAUGGUUCAAAACUCUGCAGCCCGACUUCUCACCGACACCAACUCCUGGCAGUACAUCACCCCAUGUCCUAUGACUUUUUUCAGAGAGUGUUAAAGUGGUUAAACCAUGCCCUAUAACUGAUUAGUAGGAAUUAUCAAUGAGUAGGGGCUAUCUGUUUGACUGAAUUAUUAUUCAAAGACACAUUUGUAGUGUGUAUGGGCAGUGGCACCAAACAUCCUCCUGGAGAUCCAUUCUCCGGUAGAUUCCGCCAAAAAUGUAUUGGUGAGAUGCUAAGUGUAAUUGUAUGUGUGCAACACUGCAACUUUUCCUCUCAGGGGAUGACAUUAUAAUAUCGUAGUUGUGUAUAGUAAUGUCAGUGUUCGAGAAAGUUGGUUAUGACAAUGCAAAUAAAACCACUUAUUUUUUGUACUUAA